CACGGGAGGCGAAUCAACUAUUCCCCACUAUCACUCGCCAUGAACUCUGCACAGAAAAGGAAGUCGAGGCCGCGCAGACAACGUGCUGCGGAAAGAGCGAGCGCUCGAGCAGAGACGUGCGCGCCGCACGGACGCGCGCCUCCUAUCGACAGGUAUUACAAUCGAAUCCUUGUGGGACAUUUGAUCUCAAUAACAUAGGCAUACCAGUACACACCCACACACAGCCACCCUUGCCCCUUGAAAGUGUGAGGCUCCCCAGAGGGCCCCGGCCUCCUGAUUGAGAGCAACUGACCUAGUGGAGAAAACCUUUUCAUUUGCUGCAGAUGAAAGCUCCAUCGCAAUGCGUAGCUGUUCAUCAAAACUGGUGGCCACAGCAAAUGCUCCCGGCGCCCGAGGCUCGGUCAGUGAGCUGUAAGACGGAGGUGAGAUGAGUGCGGGAUCAGACGGGGAGAACGG